rnacentral:rRNA from 1 species
UACGUAGGGGGGCAAGCGUUGUCCGGAUUUAUUGGGCGUAAAGAGCGUGUAGGCGGCCUGACAGGUCUGCUGUGAAAACUCGAGGCUCAACCUCGAGAUGUCGGCGGAAACCGUCUGGCUAGAGUCCGGAAGAGGAGAGUGGAAUUCCUGGUGUAGCGGUGAAAUGCGCAGAUAUCAGGAAGAACACCUAUGGCGAAGGCAGCUCUCUGGGACGGUACUGACGCUGAGACGCGAAAAGCGUGGGGGAGCGAACAGG